rnacentral:lncRNA from 1 species
GGCCACUCAAAAGUGUGAGCGUUGGGGUCAGAGGUGGACGUGGAAAGUGGACGACAGCAGGUGAAGAUUUUGGCCCUGAUAAUGAAAAGAACUUCCUUGGAAGAAAACCAAGCAUAAAGAAUAGUUGAAAUUGAUCAAGAACAGAAGAACCAGUUCAGGCACUGUGCUAAACCCUUUAUGUCGGUGACCUAAACGAACCACACCACCAAAUCCCUAUGAAACGUCACAGAUGGAGAAAUUGAAGCCCAGGGAUGUGUAUCAGUUGCCCAAAAGUUACACAGGGAACAAAGGGCAGAAACGGAAUGCAUAUCCAGCAGCCUGGCCCCAGAUCCUGUGUCCUGUUAGAGUGGAUCUGCAGACUGAGCAGGGACAGCUCACUAUCCCCCUGGUUACCAGUUGGAGACUGAAAUCUCCUGAAUGCUCACUCCCUCUAGAGGGGAGAAGGCAAGCUGGAGGCCUGAGGGCCCACCCAUCCCUGCCCACCUGCAUCCCAGAUCUGGGCUCCUGCACAGGACCAGAAGGACGAGGGUAAGGAUGUUGCUUCUCUAAGCCCCAGGCUCCUCAUCCCUUGGCUGGGCUACAGAAUACCCCCCUUCGUGGUACUGGAAACGCUGUGUGCAAUGACGAACCCUUUGCCAACUGUACAAUAUAAAUUUCCUCGUGAAAAAGAGUGUGUAACUGUAACUGUAUACCAUCCUCCAAGAACAGUUCCAGUUUGUAGAAAAGAAGAUGUGCCCAGAGAAGUGAAGACACUUGCCUGAGGCCACACAGCUAGGGUAUCUGACUCCAGAAUCUUCC